GACGAACGCUGGCGGCGUGCUUAACACAUGCAAGUCGAACGGAAAGGCCCUGCUUUUGUGGGGUGCUCGAGUGGCGAACGGGUGAGUAACACGUGAGUAACCUGCCCUUGACUUUGGGAUAACUUCAGGAAACUGGGGCUAAUACCGGAUAGGAGCUCCUGCUGCAUGGUGGGGGUUGGAAAGUUUCGGCGGUUGGGGAUGGACUCGCGGCUUAUCAGCUUGUUGGUGGGGUAGUGGCUUACCAAGGCUUUGACGGGUAGCCGGCCUGAGAGGGUGACCGGCCACAUUGGGACUGAGAUACGGCCCAGACUCCUACGGGAGGCAGCAGUGGGGAAUAUUGCACAAUGGGCGGAAGCCUGAUGCAGCAACGCCGCGUGCGGGAUGACGGCCUUCGGGUUGUAAACCGCUUUCGCCUGUGACGAAGCGUGAGUGACGGUAAUGGGUAAAGAAGCACCGGCUAACUACGUGCCAGCAGCCGCGGUGAUACGUAGGGUGCGAGCGUUGUCCGGAUUUAUUGGGCGUAAAGGGCUCGUAGGUGGUUGAUCGCGUCGGAAGUGUAAUCUUGGGGCUUAACCCUGAGCGUGCUUUCGAUACGGGUUGACUUGAGGAAGGUUGGGGAGAAUGGAAUUCCUGGUGGAGCGGUGGAAUGCGCAGAUAUCAGGAGGAACACCAGUGGCGAAGGCGGUUCUCUGGGCCUUUCCUGACGCUGAGGAGCGAAAGCGUGGGGAGCGAACAGGCUUAGAUACCCUGGUAGUCCACGCUGUAAACGGUGGGUACUAGGUGUGGGGUCCAUUCCACGGGUUCCGUGCCGUAGCUAACGCUUUAAGUACCCCGCCUGGGGAGUACGGCCGCAAGGCUAAAACUCAAAGGAAUUGACGGGGCCCCGCACAAGCGGCGGAGCAUGCGGAUUAAUUCGAUGCAACGCGUAGAACCUUACCUGGGUUUGACAUGGAUCGGGAGCGCUCAGAGAUGGGUGUGCCUCUUUUGGGGUCGGUUCACAGGUGGUGCAUGGCUGUCGUCAGCUCGUGUCGUGAGAUGUUGGGUUAAGUCCCGCAACGAGCGCAACCCUUGUUCACUGUUGCCAGCACGUUAUGGUGGGGACUCAGUGGAGACCGCCGGGGUCAACUCGGAGGAAGGUGGGGAUGACGUCAAGUCAUCAUGCCCCUUAUGUCCAGGGCUUCACGCAUGCUACAAUGGCUGGUACAGAGAGUGGCGAGCCUGUGAGGGUGAGCGAAUCUCGGAAAGCCGGUCUCAGUUCGGAUUGGGGUCUGCAACUCGACCUCAUGAAGUCGGAGUCGCUAGUAAUCGCAGAUCAGCAACGCUGCGGUGAAUACGUUCCCGGG
rnacentral:rRNA from 1 species